rnacentral:rRNA from 1 species
GAUGAACGCUGGCGGCGUGCCUAAUACAUGCAAGUCGAACGCACUAGCAAUAGUGAGUGGCGAACGGGUGAGUAACACGUAGGUAACUUACCUCUAAGACGAGGAUAACGACUGGAAACGGUCGCUAAAACUGGAUAGGAUCACUGAAGGCAUCUUUGGUGAUUUAAAGGGGCUUUCAAGCCACACUUAGAGAAAGGCCUGCGGCGCAUUAGCUAGUUGGUGGUGUAGAGGACUACCAAGGCGAUGAUGCGUAGCCGGACUGAGAGGUCGAACGGCCACAUUGGGACUGAGACACGGCCCAAACUCCUACGGGAGGCUG